AAGUUAUUUUAUUUUGGUUAAAGUUUUUAUUAUUAUUUUAUUUUACAUGUAAAUUUUAGUGAGAAUUAAUUUAAUUUUUAAAAAAUUAAAUUUAUUUAUUUAUUCGCAGUAAUUAAUAUUAAUUUAAAAAGAAAUUUUGUUUUAGUAAUAAUUUAUAGUAUUGGUAAAAUUUGUGCCAGCUACCGCGGUUAUACAAAUAAUACAAGUAAAAAUUUUUAGUAUUAGUUAAAUUAAAUAAUAAAAAUAAUAUAAAUAUAAAUUUAUUAGGUAAAAUUAUUAAAUUUAUUUAUUUAUUAUAAUAAUAAAUAAUUUAAGCUAUAAACUUUUUGUAAUAAACUAGGAUUAGAUACCCUAUUAUUAAAAAUAAAUAUAUAAUAUAUUAAAGUAGUAUUAGUUAUAUUCUUAAAAUUUAAAAAAUUUGGCGGUAUUUUAGUCUAUUUAGAGGAAUCUGUCCUAUAAUUGAUAAUCCACAUUGAACCUUACUUAAAUUUGUUUAAUUUGUAUAUCGCCGUCAUCAGAAUAUAUUAAUAGAUAAAAUUUUCUUAAUAUUUAAUUAAAUAAAAUGUCAGGUCAAGGUGCAGUUUAUAUUUAAGUAGAGAUGGAUUACAAUAAAUUUAUUUAAAUGGAUAAAUUUUUGAAAUAAAAUUUUAAAAGUGGAUUUAAUAGUAAUAUAAAAUAGAUUAUUUAUAUGAUUUUAGCUCUAAAAUAUGUACAUAUCGCCCAUCGUUCUUAUUUUUAAAAUAAGAUAAGUUGUAACAUAGUAGAUGUACUGGAAAGUGUAUCUAGAAAGAC
rnacentral:ncRNA from 1 species